UUAGUGGAAGCGUCUGGAAAGGCGCGCGAUACAGGGUGACAGCCCCGUACACAAAAGCGCAUGUGCUGUGAGCUCGAUGAGUAGGGCGGGACACGUGGUAUCCUGUCUGAAUAUGGGGGGACCAUCCUCCAAGGCUAAAUACUCCUGACUGACCGAUAGUGAACCAGUACCGUGAGGGAAAGGCGAAAAGAACCCCGGCGAGGGGAGUGAAAAAGAACCUGAAACCGUGUACGUACAAGCAGUGGGAGCCCCACCACUAAGCCAGUGGUGAACUCCACAUACGCAUCCUUUGCUGAGGAUGCGGUUAACGGAGCGAAAGCGACGUUCAACCGCAAAAGAAGCAGAGGGGGCUUAGUGGUGGGGUGACUGCGUACCUUUUGUAUAAUGGGUCAGCGACUUAUAUUCUGUAGCAAGGUUAACCGAAUAGGGGAGCCGGAGGGAAACCGAGUCUUAAUUGGGCGUUAAGUUGCAGGGUAUAGACCCGAAACCCGGUGAUCUAGCCAUGGGCAGGUUGAAGGUUGGGUAACACUAACUGGAGGACCGAACCGACUAAUGUUGAAAAAUUAGCGGAUGACCUGUGGCUGGGGGUGAAAGGCCAAUCAAACCGGGAGAUAGCUGGUUCUCCCCGAAAGCUAUUUAGGUAGCGCCUCGUGAAUUCAUCUCCGGGGGUAGAGCACUGUUUCGGCUAGGGGGCCAUCCCGGCUU
rnacentral:rRNA from 1 species